rnacentral:tRNA from 1 species
CCUUCGGUAGCUCAGUUGGUAGAGCGGUGGACUGUAGUGUAAAUAAUCAUAGAUAUCCAUAGGUCGCUGGUUCAAAUCCGGCCCGAAGGA